rnacentral:rRNA from 1 species
CCGCGGUAAUACAGAGGGUGCAAGCGUUAAUCGGAAUUACUGGGCGUAAAGCGUGCGUAGUCGGCCAUUCAAGUCGGGUGUGAAAGCCCCGGGCUCAACCUGGGAAUUGCAUUCGAUACUGUGUGGCUAGAGUUCGGCAGAGGGAAGUGGAAUUUCCGGUGUAGCGGUGAAAUGCGUAGAUAUCGGAAGGAACAUCAGUGGCGAAAGCGACUUCCUGGACCAGAACUGACGAUCAGGCACGAAAGCGUGGGGAGCAAACAGG